rnacentral:lncRNA from 1 species
GGAGUUUCCUUUAUUCUGCCAGUUACCUGGUGGACGACCCGACCUCCUAUUAAAACACUGUUGGUGUUUCCUUUAUUCUGCCAGUUACCUGGUGGUUGGUGGAGGACCUGGAGUUUCCUUUAUUCUGCCAGUUACCUGGUGGACGACCCGACCUCCUAUUAAAACACUGUUGGAGUUUCCUUUAUUCUGCCAGUUACCUGGUGGUUGGUGGAGGACCUGGAGUUUCCUUUAUUCUGCCAGUUACCUGGUGGAGGACCCGACCUCCUAUUAAAACACUUUAUGUUGCUGUUUCCUUCACAAGGUUCAUUUCCAUCUUGCUGUUUGUUGAAAGGUCAAGAUGUUUGGAUGUGUAUUUUAUUCUUCUGAUUGUUACAGAUUGGCUAAAUGCAGACAAAAUGCAACCCAAAACAGUCUUACCACAGUGUGCUUAUUGUGUGUGUGUGUGUGUGUGUGUGUGUGUGCGUGUGCUUAUUGUGUGUGUGUGUGUGUUGCGUCAGGUCUGCUUUCACCUAGUUAUGUAUAGCUGUUGUGUUUCAAUGUCAAAGUAUUAUUCAGGUCCUGAGGGCCAAAACAUUUCUGCUUUCUCUUCCUACCUGAUGUCCCCAGGUCUGAAUGAGUCUCUCUACCUGAUGUCCCCAGGUCUGAAUGAGUCUCUCUACCUGAUGUCCCCAGGUCUGAAUGAGUCUCAGGUCUGAAUGAGUCUCUCUACCUGAUGUCCCCAGGUCUGAAUGAGUCUCUCUACCUGAUGUCCCCAGGUCUGAAUGAGUCUCUCUACCUGAUGUCCCCAGGUCUGAAUGAGUCUCUCUACCUGAUGUCCCCAGGUCUGAAUGAGUCUCUCUACCUGAUGUCCCCAGGUCUGAAUGAGUCUCUCUACCUGAUGUCCCCAGGUCUGAAUUAGUCUCUCUACCUGAUGUCCCCAGGUCUGAAUGAGUCUCAGGUCUGAAUGAGUCUCUCUACCUGAUGUCCCCAGGUCUGAAUGAGUCUCUCUACCUGAUGUCCCCAGGUCUGAAUGAGUCUCAGGUCUGAAUGAGUCUCUCUACCUGAUGUCCCCAGGUCUGAAUGAGUCUCUCUACCUGAUGUCCCCAGGUCUGAAUGAGUCUCUACCUGAUGUCCCCAGGUCUGAAUGAGUCUCUCUACCUGAUGUCCCCAGGUCUGAAUGAGUCUCUCUACCUGAUGUCCCCAGGUCUGAAUGAGUCUCUCUACCUGAUGUCCCCAGGUCUGAAUGAGUCUCUCUACCUGAUGUCCCCAGGUCUGAAUGAGUCUCUCUACCUGAUGUCCCCAGGUCUGAAUGAGUCUCAACCUGUUGUCCCCAGAUCUGAACGAGUCUCGGGUCUGAACGAGUCUCGGAUUACAGGUAGAGGAUGAGAACCAGUAGUGUUUCGUCCCUCCAGGACCAGAAAGAAAUAGCCCUUGGCUAGAUUCAAUCUGAUCCGCAGAAGAUCCGGGUUAUAGUUCACCUUUAAAAAAAACCAAAAAGGUAAUUUACGAUUGAGCCUACUGUUAACGUGGAAACUUUACCUUUUAAUAAGGUGCACAGCCGAAAAGAGGAGAUCGGAUUUGAAUCUAGGAACAGCUUCCUCCCUCCCUCCAGUCCUAACGAGGGGUGAGAGAUAUAUAUAUAUAUGGGUCCCGUGUGGCUCAGUUGGUAGAGCAUGGGUGUUUGCAACGCCAGGGUUGUGGGUUCGAUUCCCACGGGGGACCAAUACGUGGGGGGGGGGGGAAAUGUCUGAAAUGUAUGCAUUCACUACUGUAAGUCGCUCUGGAUAAGAGCGUCUGCUAAAAUAACUAAAAUGUAAAUGUUAAUAACUGAUCUAGGAUCAGUUUCCUCCCUCCAGUCCUAACAGGUCACCAUUAGAGAGGUGAUAUAUAUAUAUAUAUAACUGAUCUAGGAUCAGUCCUAACGGGUCACCAUUAGAGAGGUGAUAUAUAUAACUGAUCUAGGAUCAGUCCUAACAGGUCACCAUUAGAGAGGUGAUAUAUAUAUAUAUAUAUAUAUAUAUAACUGAACUAGGACCAGUGUUAAACAGAGCUGAAUGUCUGUCUGGUUCAUACCAUUUAUGAUGCUGAUGUAUUGUUAUUAUAAUGACAUUAAAUUAUUGAAUGUUUCUGUC